GCGCCCGGCCCGUAGCCUGGUCGUGGCACACAAGACCCGCCCCACGCGCAGGCACCAGGCCCACCGCUCUUUCAGACUCCGCGCUGAGGAGCUUACCCGAGGUACCCUUCCACUUAUGACCAUAAUGGACCCUGAAAUUUCCAUCAUAAAUCAUGACAGUCCUAAGUUGUGGCAUCCACAUGAUUAGACCCAGUUUUAUUACUUCUUUUGCAGUGGUCAUUCAGCCAGUGCCACAGUCAUUAAUUGACUGCAGUAAUCAUUAAAUGCUGUGGUCAUUAAGUAAACCUAUGUAUUCCUAUAGGAGCAGUGAGUCAGUUGCCAAGUGCCCUAAAUGAGUCAUAUGACCAUGGGGUGUCUGUGUACAGCAAUUGGAACUAGGAAACUGACUAAUAAAUAGCUUUUUGGGUGGCUGACGGAGGGGGGAA